rnacentral:sRNA from 1 species
GUCGCGGCAAAAUCCGUGACCGACCUUGGCCGGUCGAGAAACGAAAGGCGCACAGGCGCCCAUCACCAGAUUGCAGGCGCUUUUUUU